rnacentral:rRNA from 1 species
UAGGGAAUCUUCGGCAAUGGACGAAAGUCUGACCGAGCAACGCCGCGUGAGUGAAGAAGGUUUUCGGAUCGUAAAACUCUGUUGUUAGAGAAGAACAAGGACGUUAGUAACUGAACGUCCCCUGACGGUAUCUAACCAGAAAGCCACGGCUAACUACGUGCCAGCAGCCGCGGUAAUACGUAGGUGGCAAGCGUUGUCCGGAUUUAUUGGGCGUAAAGCGAGCGCAGGCGGUUUCUUAAGUCUGAUGUGAAAGCCCCCGGCUCAACCGGGGAGGGUCAUUGGAAACUGGGAGACUUGAGUGCAGAAGAGGGGAGUGGAAUUCCAUGUGUAGCGGUGAAAUGCGUAGAUAUAUGGAAGAACACCAGUGGCGAAGGCAGCUCUCUGGUCUGUAACUGACGCUGAGGCUCGAAAGCGUGGGGAGCAAACAGG